UCCCUGCUAGCUCAGGUGGUAAAGAAGCUGCCUGCCAUGCAGGAGACCCAGGUUCCAUUCCUGGGUUGGGAA
rnacentral:tRNA from 1 species